rnacentral:tRNA from 1 species
GCCGGGAUAGCUCAGCGGUAGAGCAGUAUCGGACGGUACCGCCGACAGAAUGUACAUUCUGGACAUUUAAUCUACAGGUGGCAGGUUCGACUCCUGCUCCCGGCG